GAGCAAGACCCUGUCUCAAAAAAAAAAAAAGAGAAAUGAAUGUAUUUGAUGGGGUUAGCAUAACAUAAUGAAUUAUAGUAAGUCUCUAAUACUUCAUUCUAUUAACAGUGUUUUUAUCUGAAAUAUUGCUCAUUCGGGAGUCUCAUCAGAACCCUAAAACCAUUAUAUAAUAGACAAUUAGGUUAUCCUACAAGUUAUCAACCAUUAGAUAAUGAACAAAACAGCUAUCUUAGCCAUAUUCUAGAAGAAUCUUUUUAUCCCACUUAAACAGUAUUAAUUUUCCUUGUUUUUUAAACACAUACCAGCUCUCUUCUCUGAGCUAUGUAUUUAACUUUGUGGCACAGGAUCCUUAACCCAAAUGUUUUCACUGAAUUUUCCACGUUGGCAUACCUUUUAAGAAAGAGGUCAGUUUGUUUACAAGUCAAGCGCUAAAUAAAAAAAUAAAAAUUAAAAAAAAAAAGAGAUCAGUUAAAAGGUGCCCAUUAAGAGGACCCAUGGAGGAAAUUGCUAUCUAGUCUUAAUUAUUAGAAUGCAGGAUUUGUUAUAUAGACAGUGAAGCAUAUAGCCAGUGGUAUUUAUCCAAUGGAUGUCAGAAUGCUUAGGAUCAGAUUUUUGACCCACUUUUAUCAAAUGCGAAAGACCUAUGACAUGCAUGUUAUGUAUUUCUAGUACUCAUAGUUUUAUCUUCUCUACCUUCAUUUUCCUCUAUUCAUAUCAUCAGCCGUUUUUUCAUAAUCAUCUUUUAAUGGGAAAAAAGUGAUACAAAAAUAAGGUUUUAAGAAAUUUUAAAAAUCAGCUCUUUGAUAUUUGAAAAAAUAUAUCCUAAGUAGUUAAUUGUGGAAGUGACGCAGACCAGUCUCUUUCUUGUUCACAUUGUCUUUGCUGUUUUGCCCAUCGAAGGUGCUCAAUACAUGUUGACUGUGCUACAUGGAGUUGCUGUAACAAUCUAAUUUUGAUGCUAUAGUUAUCUCUCAAAGAAAGGUGGGAGUACUGAAGUUACUCUCCUCACGUAAGGAAAUGGAUUCCUCUUUUUUUUCUGCUGCCCUCACCUGCCUUAAAUCUUCCUAUUUCCUUGCUACCUCAACCCCACCUGUGCCCUGGAUCACAUCGGGGUCACCACCUGCGGAAGUCUGACGUGCAGACCCUGACUCAACGACGGUUGAAUGAAUGCACUCUCAUACCAGAGUGUUUCAAGUGGACUAGCGAUUGCCGUUGGUUGCUUUUAGAGGGCGAAAUACAACCAAUCGACCCAGACCCUCUGACCUUUCACACUUUUAUCCUGUCAAGAUUUUAUAAAGAGAUUCUAAGUUAAUACACUUGUGGAUAAUUAAGAUGGUUAAGAGAAUGGUUUUACGACUGGUAAAAGCUUUAGGUUCUGGGGCCCAGAGUAAAUGCUGUUAUUAACAGUACUUCCCCUUUGAUCUUCCCGGGAUAGGGCCCCCCAGCACAAAAUUAACAUGAGUAAACAGAGCAGAGACAGAUGAGUGUGGGGGAAGGCCUUUGAUCAGUCUCUAUCUUUCCUAUGCUAAUAUGAGUGAGGCGGCUGCCUUGAACCUGCCUAAAUAAAACUUUACAGCCUUCCAAAAGGUUUGAGACUAUAAUCUGUAACUUUUCCUAAAUAUGUUCUGUAAUAUUUUGCCAACCACCCCAAGUGAAUAGCAACACCCACCUGAGUUAAAAUAUAGUUUGCAUCAGUCACAAGCCCCGUAAAUCCAUUAGCUCUGAGAGUUUCCUAUUUUAUGAACUUCUAAAUGGUGUUGAUUUUGCGUAAUUUUUACCUUAAUUACAGGUUUAUCACAAAGGAAAUAGAAAGUAUUGCAGACCAGGUUUGUAUUUUGGCAGCUCUUUAGGGAAUAGAUUUCUGGCUAGGAUUCACAAUAUUGAUGACAAAUGAUCUAUGAAAUCUGCAUGAUAAACAAGGACUAUUAAAGAUAAGGUUUUUUAAAAAUAGAUUUGAGGAUAAGAAAUAGGGAACAGUGAAAGAGAGGCAAGAUAUGGGCUAGACUUAAAUACAUAUAGCCUGUAAACAGGAACAAAUGGCAUAAAACAUUGAACCUCACAUCAAGAAACUGAGAGGUUUACAAAGCUUUGUUGUGGUAAACUUUAGAGAGGCAAAGUCUUGAAGGCUGGCAAGGGUCACCCCACAAAUAUGAGUUCUUCCUGAGGAUCUUACGAUAUUUACUAGAUUGGGUAGAUUGUUGGGUCUGGUUUUUUCCUUUUUUUUUUUUUUUUUUUUUUUUAAAGAAGUGCUGUAGGCUGGGUGUGGUGA